GCUUUACUGUUCCCUGAAAUUGGGUCUAGGCUUCUCUUGCGCAGCUUAGGUGGGAGGCAAAGACGAAAUCCUCAUGGGGGUUUAAGAGCCAACAAUGAGAUACCACCCUAGAGAAGAUAGGAUUCUAACCCUAUAACUUUUAGAAGUUUAGGGAACAUUUUCAGGUAGACAGUUUCUAUGGGGCGUAGGCCUCCUAAAAAGUAACGGAGGCGUGCAAAGGUUCCCUCGGGUUGGAUGGAAAUCAGCCUUCGAGUAUAAAGGCAUAAGGGAGCUUGACUGUAAGACUGACAUGUCGAACAGGGACGAAAGUCGGCCUUAGUGAUCCGACGGUUCCGCGUGGAAGGGCCGUCGCUCAACGGAUAAAAGUUA
rnacentral:rRNA from 4 species